CAUAGCGACUAUCGUGGCAUAUCAAUAAGCGGAGGAAAAGAAACUAACUAGGAUUCCCUUAGUAACGGCGAGUGAAGCGGGAAGAGCUCAAAUUUGAAAUCUUCAAGGUUUUACCUUGACGAAUUGUAGUUUAAAGAAGUGUUUUCUGUUGAAGUUUUGGUAAAAGUUCUUUGGAAUAGGACAUCAUAGAGGGUGAGAAUCCCGUAUUUGACCAUUAUUUUCAGCUGUGUGAUACACUUUCAAAGAGUCGGAUUGUUUGGGAAUGCAGUCCAAAAUGGGUGGUAAAUUUCAUCUAAAGCUAAAUAUUGGCGAGAGACCGAUAGCGAACAAGUACCGUGAGGGAAAGAUGAAAAGAACUUUGAAAAGAGAGUUAAACAGUACGUGAAAUUGUCAAAAGGGAAGCGUUUGACACCAGUGUUGUUUUCUCGAAAAUCAAUUAAAAAAUGCCGGAUUUUGUGUUGUAUUGACCUUAUAAGCUUUCUGCACUCUUUUCUUGUCUUUUUUAAUGCACUUUUCGUUUAACAAGUCAACAUCAGUUUCUUUUGUUGUAAAAGGGCCAUUGGAAGGUGGCUUUCUUUUCGGAGAAAGUGUUUAUAGCCUUUGAUCUCUGCAACCGGAGAGACUGAGGUCUGCAGCGUAGACUCUUCGGGGUUAGAUACAUUUGUGCUAAGCUAUAGCUUUUUAUAGACAACUUGUUGACCAUAUUUAGUCUUGUGGCUUACUCGCUUAUGCUAUUUUACCUACGCUUAGGAUGUUGAUAUGCAUGACUGAUAUA
rnacentral:rRNA from 1 species